rnacentral:rRNA from 1 species
AGUGAACGCUGGCGGUAGGCCUAACACAUGCAAGUCGAACGGCAGCACAGUAAGAGCUUGCUCUUACGGGUGGCGAGUGGCGGACGGGUGAGGAAUACAUCGGAAUCUACUUUUUCGUGGGGGAUAACGUAGGGAAACUUACGCUAGUACCGCAUACGACCUACGGGUGAAAGCAGGGGAUCUUCGGACCUUGCGCGAUUGAAUGAGCCGAUGUCGGAUUAGCUAGUUGGCGGGGUAAAGGCCCACCAAGGCGACGAUCCGUAGCUGGUCUGAGAGGAUGAUCAGCCACACUGGAACUGAGACACGGUCCAGACUCCUACGGGAGCCAGCAGUGGGGAAUAUUGGACAAUGGGCGCAAGCCUGAUCCAGCCAUACCGCGUGGGUGAAGAAGGCCUUCGGGUUGUAAAGCCCUUUUGUUGGGAAAGAAAAGCAGCAGGUUAAUACCCCGCUGUUCUGACGGUACCCAAAGAAUAAGCACCGGCUAACUUCGUG